UACAGUGAAGGAAGCCAGACUGCAAACUCCGGUACUGACGAACAGGAAUCGCAUAGGAGGCUAUAAAGUAUGGAUAAGCAAGCACAUCAUUGUAACGUCCUAUAAUUAGUUAUAUGCUUUAUAGUAGAUGCGGCAGCGAUUGGAGGAAGGAAC
rnacentral:ncRNA from 1 species